UUGGAGGCGGGGGUCUU
rnacentral:miRNA from 1 species